AACCAGGUGAGUGGGAUGAAGUCCUUUGAGGCUGCACCAAUGGGAAUGUUACAGGUGCUGGGCCAAGAGCCCAAACAUUAUUGUCUGACUGACAACCAGCUGAGGCUCUUUUGGCUGUGGACAGAAGGGGUAUUUCAGUCAGAUGAUCAGCAGCUAUGGAUCUUCAGUCCUCCUGAAUAAAUGAUGGUGUUGCAGCAAUAUUUUAAUCAAUACAAUUAAGUUAGUCUUACCACAGAAAACUGGGUUCUGGUAGAACACAUACCAAGCAAAUGUGGAGGGAAAUAACCUAAAUAAAACAUUUAUUCCAUGUUUACAGAAUACAGGGGAAAAAUUUGAUAGUGAAAUAUGGAUAUUGCACUGUGAAUUGCUGCCUACUGUUUAGACACUGACCAUGUCUUCUGCCUGAUCAUUAAGACUGUUUAAUGGAGAUUCCUCAUGUAGUGAGCUAAUCUAAUUUUCCAACAUAAUUAAUUCUGCAUCACCUCAGCAGCUGCAUUCUGAUGUCUAAAAGAAAAUUUCUAAUUAUGUGAAAGCUGACCACUGAGUUCCUGAAAUAUGUGUGUUUUGCUGCUGUACCAUUAUCCAGGCAGGAGUGCUGAAGAUGAAAAAUCCUUCCAGACACUAGUGUUUCAAAUGAUGGAUGGAACUAUCCAGGCAAGAGGCAGUCCAGCUGGCCCAGGAGUCACAGCCAGGAGCAAGGAAGGUGGAGGCAAACACUGGAGAUGAGAUGGAGAUAAAUAAAUCUCAAUCAUUUUCUCUCUUUCUCUAGAUCUGUGCCAACCACGAUUUCCAAACUGUGUCAUACAGGUCUAGACUGCAAUAUUAGACUCCUAUGUGUCAAGGCUGUCAGUUCUGGGAUGCUCCUGUUUGGAUUCUGUGCUAUGAGACAGGUGCUUCAGAGAGCAAAGGAGAUGUUCUGCUGGGGAUGCCCCAGUGAAUAGAAGUGGAUCCAAUGUGCUCUGCAGCACUGCAAAUACACUGACAGAUGGAAAAUGUAACAAGAAUUUAAGAAAUAUCCUGUUGUCUGCUAAUACAGAGACCACCUAUGCAUGACUAGAGAUAUGGAAUGGAGAGUAUUUCUUGUGCAAUUCAUUAACAUGCUACCCAGUGUCUGAAAAAACCAAACUCCUCAGGACUGGACUAUACACUUUAUGGAUUUUCCAACUAUUGAAAAGAAAUCAGCAUGACCAAUGAAUUAUUACUCUGGUCUGCCUUUGGCCACCUAUCUUA